UACACUCCUACGGGAGGCAGCAGUGGGGAAUUUUGGACAAUGGGGGCAACCCUGAUCCAGCAAUGCCGCGUGAGUGAAGAAGGCCUUCGGGUUGUAAAGCUCUUUUGUCAGGGAAGAAACGGUGGUGGCGAAUAACUACUACUAAUGACGGUACCUGAAGAAUAAGCACCGGCUAACUACGUGCCAGCAGCCGCGGUAAUACGUAGGGUGCAAGCGUUAAUCGGAAUUACUGGGCGUAAAGCGUGCGCAGGCGGUUGUGUAAGUCAGAUGUGAAAUCCCCGGGCUCAACCUGGGAAUUGCAUUUGAGACUGCACGGCUAGAGUGUGUCAGAGGGGGGUAGAAUUCCACGUGUAGCAGUGAAAUGCGUAGAUAUGUGGAGGAAUGCCGAUGGCGAAGGCAGCGCCCUGGGAUAACACUGACGCUCAUGCACGAAAGCGUGGGGAGCAAACAGGAUUAGAAACCCCAGUAGUCCCAUGA
rnacentral:rRNA from 1 species